rnacentral:rRNA from 1 species
GACGAACGCUGGCGGCGUGCCUAAUACAUGCAAGUAGAACGCACAGUUUAUACCGUAGCUUGCUACACCAUACACUGUGAGUUGCGAACGGGUGAGUAACGCGUAGGUAACCUGCCUGGUAGCGGGGGAUAACUAUUGGAAACGAUAGCUAAUACCGCAUAAUAUUGAUUAUUGCAUGAUAAUUGAUUGAACGAUGCUAUUGCAUCACUACCAGAUGGACCUGCGUUGUAUUAGCUAGUAGGUGAGGUAACGGCUCACCUAGGCGACGAUACAUAGCCGACCUGAGAGGGUGAUCGGCCACACUGGGACUGAGACACGGCCCAGACUCCUACGGGAGGCAGCAGUAGGGAAUCUUCGGCAAUGGACGAAAGUCUGACCGAGCAACGCCGCGUGAGUGAAGAAGGGUUUCGGAUCGUAAAGCUCUGUUGUAAGAGAAGAACGGGUGUGAGAGUGGAAAGUUCACACUGUGACGGUAUCUUACCAGAAAGGGACGGCUAACUACGUG